AAGGUUUUAAGUUAAAUAAACUAAUGGCCUUCAAAGCCAGAAAUAGAUUAUAUCUAACCCUUG
rnacentral:tRNA from 1 species